AGCCCCGACACCCUUUCCGGUGUCUCUCCAAAUUUGCACUUUGG
rnacentral:tRNA from 1 species